UGCCACUUAAGUAACAAUGCUUUUGGGAAACGCACAGAUAAAAUAACGAGGCGCUUACGUGCAUCUUACAAUCAUCUUAGUGCUUUGGGAAACUGGGCCUAGAUUUGCUUCCUUCUGAUCUAAGUGUAGAUGUAGCCACAGGCAGCAUGAGAGUUCAAAGAAACAGGUAAAUUUAAUCCAGUGAACUGGAACAAAAUAAGAAACACAAAAAUAAUAAUAAGGACAAACAAUAAUCCACACAGACUGGGGAAAAAGGACAUAAUUUAAUACUCAGGAAAAUGAGGAAACUGGGCACAGGUCUUAGAACUGCCCUUCCCUGUGACAGGGGUGACCACUAUGUUGCUGAUUCGGUAUCCAAUGAAUGCACCAUUGAAGCGCACCAGGGAGUAGGCUCGGAUCCUUCUAACAUGCCAAGUUGUUCUAUACUUUCCAACUCUCUUGACUUUUGAAAGCAAGAGGUUGUCUACCAGGGCCCC